GACGAACGCUGGCGGCGUGCUUAACACAUGCAAGUCGAACGGAAAGGCCCUGCUUUUGUGAGGUGCUCGAGUGGCGAACGGGUGAGUAACACGUGAGUAACCUGCCCUUGACUUUGGGAUAACUUCAGGAAACUGGGGCUAAUACCGGAUAGGAGCUCCUGCUGCAUGGUGGGGGUUGGUAAGUUUCGGCGGUUGGGGAUGGACUCGCGGCUUAUCAGCUUGUUGGUGGGGUAGUGGCUUACCAAGGCUUUGACGGGUAGCCGGCCUGAGAGGGUGACCGGCCACAUUGGGACUGAGAUACGGCCCAGACUCCUACGGGAGGCAGCAGUGGGGAAUAUUGCACAAUGGGCGGAAGCCUGAUGCAGCAACGCCGCGUGCGGGAUGACGGCCUUCGGGUUGUAAACCGCUUUCGCCUGUGACGAAGCGUGAGUGACGGUAAUGGGUAAAGAAGCACCGGCUAACUACGUG
rnacentral:rRNA from 1 species